CCGAUCCACCCGACCCUCACGAUCCCGAUCUCUUCUUCCCCGAUCUCCCCUUCUUCCUUCUCUGUUCUCUCUCGCGGACAAGCGACGCCGAAGGGAAUGAAGCUUUGAUCUCCGGCGAUCUCCCUCUGCCGGCAUCAACACCCUAAGCUCAGAUCUGGUCGGUGUUUCUCCUCUCCGGGUCUUCUUCGGCUGAGGAGUUGCUAUUCGGUGGAUUUUGCACCGAUUGUUAACGAUCGGUGGCUAGGGCAUGGUGAGGGGUCGGAUCUUGCAUCGUCUUCCAUCGGUAGACCUUCCCUCUCCUCUCCUCGUGUUGGACACAGUGCGAUUACUCUCUUCGCUAGCCGGAUUGGACCGGGCGGCGCCACCUAGCAGCGAUCUGGGAGUUUACACGAGGAGGAAAGCAUCGGAUUGCUGUGGAUUCUUCCUAUUGUCGAUCAUUGCUUUCUUCUUUCUUGAAGCUGUGGAGGUCUCAGAGUAAGGUAGGAUCUAGGUAUAUUGCUUGAUUCAUUGUUUGAUCCGAAUUGUGGAGUGGAAUCCAACACAUUGCUGUUCUGUGGACUUUUUGGUUCGGCAGCAACCCAUCCAUCAGUGUUCCCUUGAUCCAGAAUCAACAGCAGCUGGAUUGAGGACUCUGAUUCGAGACGGGCG